rnacentral:rRNA from 1 species
GAUAAACGCUGGCGGCGUGCCUAACACAUGCAAGUCGAACGAUCCCGCAAGGGAGAGUGGCGGAAGGGUGAGUAACACGUGGGAAUCUACCUCCUCGCAGGGAACAACCUCUCGAAAGAGAGGCUAAUACCCAAAAGGGUCAGAAAUGAUCAGAGUCGAAAGGCGUGAGGAGAGGAGCCCGCGGCCCAUCAGCUAGUUGGUGAGGUAAUGGCUUACCAAGGCUACGACGGGUAGGGGAUCUGAGAGGAUGUCCCCCACACUGGAACUGAAACACGGUCCAGACGCCUACGGGUGGCAGCAGUGAGGAAUAUUGGACAAUGGGCGAAAGCCCGAUCCAGCAACGCCGCGUGGAGGAUGAAGGCCUUCGGGUCGUAAACUUCUUUAGAGGGAGACGAGAAAGGACGGUAUCCCUAGAAUAAGCGA